GCCUCUGUAGCUCAGUGGAUAGAGCAAAAGCCUUCUAAUCUUUUGGUCGCAGGUUCGAUUCCUGCCAGGGGCA
rnacentral:tRNA from 1 species